AAAAAACAUGCACACGCUUUUUUCACGCUCCACAUUGCUAAAGAAUUGGACCUUGAUGUCUCAGUAAGGUGUCUGUAACUUUUCAUGCCAAAAAGCGCUGUAGAUCGCCCACACGGCCCGUCUGAAAGUGUGUGUUUUAAGCUCUCGUCCACAACGCUCUGCGUGCGUCGGAAGCUAAACUGAUCGCCACACCCCUUUGAGGAAGCGCAUAGCCGUGGGAAUCCAACGUCACGGUCACUGAAUCCACUGUAACAGUGACACUGGCUACCUCGUCCUCGUAGUGGAGUUCAACCAUACGUUUGAUCCAAAAUCUGACUCUGAAGUCGAAUGGGAGGCUGUUGCAGUGGUUACACUUCGACUGGCGCAAGUUGUUGCAGGUAUCUAGCCUAGAGGUCUUGUCAGCUGGUGCUGCGGACUUCUAGGGCGAAGAGUCCAAGUCAUCCCACCUUCCCUGGUCUGGAUCAGGGCAGUGUUUCCUGAGGGACAAGGCACCUAUGUUGGACUUAGACCACCUGUGAAAUACCUAAAUUAUUGUUUUUUUUGGCAAUACCUCAAUUAAAGCUGAAAUAUUAUAAAA